UAAAGGGUGUUUUUGUUCUUCCAACCUUGGGAUCAAAACUUCAUGAAACUAUUUGAUUAUAAUGUAGUAUGAGUAUGGAAAAUGAAAAUUCCCCCUGCCACAGAAACUGCCUUUUAUCUCAUUCUUUUCCUGAAAAAUCCAAAAGCUAGGGUGCUGUCAGUAAUACGAAGUGGCAGGAAGAAGUCAGCGUUAAAAGUGACACCUUUUCACGUGAGUGACAAUUAAAAAAACUGGGAAGCAGCAGAUUGAUCUAAUUUAACCGUAUGAAAAAGCUUUGGAAGAUUUUUAUUUUUAGGAGGGAGUGGUUGCAAACCUGGGAUGAAGUAUUCAGCUGACAUAUUGAGUUCCUUUCUCUUUGUGAAACUCAUUAGAAUGAAGCACAUUUAAUCAAAAUACCAAUUUUAUAAAAUGGAGGUAAAAAUACUCGUGGUAAUUCAAGAGAUCACACCUUCCUUGGGGCUCCGUAACCAAUGUUGACGACGUAGUUUGCAGACCAGGGAGCUGGAGUGGAAUCAUCUUCCUUCAUCUUGGAGAGCUGUUGUUCAGAACUUGGCUUUAAUUAAUUAAUUAAUUUAUUAAUUUAUUUUUGAGCUUGGCAUUUUUUAAGUCGGGUUCCCUCUGCUCCUCCAGCUCGCCUAUGUUUUCCUGUCGUGCGGUUUCCUGUUGGUGAGGUCUGUGUGGGUGAGGGGGCCUCUUUGCUUGGCCUCCUCUUCCGUCCUCAUCAAUCCAGAAGCCCGGAUGGCUUUGCCUGCUGUUUCCCAGAUGCCCAUCAUGGGAGGACCACAGGUUCCGAUGUCCCAAGACGGGUGGCAGCCUCAUUCUUCAUGCAUCAGGCAGAAAUGGAGACGUGGGGCUCCUUCCAGGGUUGGUUCCUGUUUCUGCAGGAAAACUCGAAAAACGAGCCAGCUGAAAUUGAACGCCCUCCGGUUUUGUUCGGCAGAUCCGUGAACUUGAUGACUUGCUGUUUCUUUGGCUGCAGAAUUCUAAUUUCACUUGCAGAUUCCUGCUGUCCCUCCCUGCUCGGCCUCCUAGCAGUGGUGGCCCUGACGGUGUGCCUAAGGAGGACCUUUUGUAUGAAAUAACGAAUAAAAUCAAUGGAAAA